rnacentral:rRNA from 1 species
GGUUAGUAACACGUGGAUAACCUACCUAUAAGACUGGGAUAACUUCGGGAAACCGGAGCUAAUACCGGAUAAUAUAUUGAACCGCAUGGUUCAAUAGUGAAAGACGGCUUUGCUGUCACUUAUAGAUGGAUCCGCGCCGCAUUAGCUAGUUGGUAAGGUAACGGCUUACCAAGGCAACGAUGCGUAGCCGACCUGAGAGGGUGAUCGGCCACACUGGAACUGAGACACGGUCCAG